rnacentral:rRNA from 1 species
UGGGGAAUAUUGGGCAAUGGGGGAAACCCUGACCCAGCAACGCCGCGUGAAGGAAGAAGGUUUUCGGAUUGUAAACUUCUGUCCUAAGGGAAGAAAGAAAUGACGGUACCUUAGGAGGAAGCCCCGGCUAACUACGUGCCAGCAGCCGCGGUAAUACGUAGGGGGUCAAGCGUUGUCCGGAAUUAUUGGGCGUAAAGGGUGCGUAGGCGGCCGAUCAAGUCAGGUGUGAAAGACCCGUGCUUAACAUGGGGGUUGCACUUGAAACUGGUUGGCUUGAGUAUGGGAGAGGCAAGCGGAAUUCCCGGUGUAGCGGUGAAAUGCGUAGAGAUCGGGAGGAACACCAGUGGCGAAGGCGGCUUGCUGGACCAAAAGCUGACGCUGAGGCACGAAAGCGUGGGUAGCAAACAGGAUUAGAUACC